rnacentral:lncRNA from 1 species
AGUCUCGCUGCGUUUCUCCCUUGCCCAAAGCGAGAGCCUGCGGGCGUUGGCGGCGCCGCGGUCUGCCAGGAGAGCGGGGAGCGGAGCCGUGCCGGGAUUAAGUCACUCUCGCAAGGUCACGCGGUGAAUCGCUGCUGCUGCUGCCAGGAAUAGCGCCCCGAGUCUCUUGGCUCUCUCAAGCCCACCCGCAGCACUCCAGCCUCCUUUCCUCGGGUUAUGAAGCUUUCUGCAGCAAGAUUUGAAGCAGCCAAAUUCCAGCUUAGAUCAAAGUCCCUAGGAUUCACUUGUGAUUUCCGGAUGGAGUAUGGCAAGAGCGUUGGUGGGAGCAGACAAUGCUUGUGCUGAUAGCAGAGGUUGAAGUGUUUCCUGUCAUGGAAAAGAUGAACAAGCCAGUUCCGCAUCAGCUUUCUUUUCUGAGACUUCCAGCUGUAACUGAAGCCUCAGUUCCCGUGAUGAUGCUCCUGGGGCACAGCCCGAUGGCAUCUGCAGAGUGGGGCAUGGAGAACAAGGGACCCCGAGCCACAGGGAGGGACUGCAGCCCCUGCGCCCCUCUCCCCAUGGAGAGACAGCAGAACAUCAUGGUGCCCUCAGAGCCAGCACAGCGCAGACAUCUCCAACAGGGGAUCAGCAAACGCAUAGGACAGGUACACUCCCUUCUGAGUGACAGCACUUCCCAAAGCCUCGCUCUGCAGCCCUGGAGCCUGCUUCAGCAGCCCUGGGAGCCUGGCCAUGGUGAGGGGAAUAAUACCCAGAGUUGUGGUGCUGAGAAGGUGAAGCUGCAGCGUGAGCCCACCUGGAAUCCUCACUGUAGGAGAAAUGCACUGGGAGCAGCCGUGGACGGGCAGGGUCACCAGCACUGCGGUGCUCGCUCCGUCUCAGUGACUGCAAUUUGUGUGGGACAAUCUGCUCCUUGCACGCGUUGCUCAGAGGCGGAUCCUGUUCAGAAACCCCUUCUCUGCCCCUGUGGAACAGAGGGCUAUGGCACCUUCACAUGGAACCACGCUCAACUGGAAUGUCACAGAUUUGCCUCUGGGGCCAACCUGAGCUGCAGCAGAGCAUGGAGAAGACAGUUUCAGAAGCUGAGACGUGUCUGUGUACCCUUCACAGAAGCAGCACUCCAGAAACAGUUCAUGGGACAGAAGAGAUGGCAUAUUUCGUUUAACAAUGGGGUGUUUAAGGCCUGGUUCUGCAAAGUACACUGGAAGAAAACAGGUAUUUCCUUAUGCAUCAUGCCCUAG